GUGCUCACUUUGGCAGCACAUACACUGAAACUGGAAUAAUACAGAGUAGAUUAGCAUACCCCACACAAGGAUGACAUAAAUUCGUGAAGCAUUCCAUAUUUUU